GAUGAACGCUGGCGGCGUGCCUAAUACAUGCAAGUCGAGCGAACAGACGAGGAGCUUGCUCCUCUGACGUUAGCGGCGGACGGGUGAGUAACACGUGGAUAACCUACCUAUAAGACUGGGAUAACUUCGGGAAACCGGAGCUAAUACCGGAUAAUAUAUUGAACCGCAUGGUUCAAUAGUGAAAGACGGUUUUGCUGUCACUUAUAGAUGGAUCCGCGCCGCAUUAGCUAGUUGGUAAGGUAACGGCUUACCAAGGCAACGAUGCGUAGCCGACCUGAGAGGGUGAUCGGACACACUGGAAGUGAGACACGGUCCAGACUCCUACGGGAGGCAGCAGUAGGGACUCUUCCGCAAUGGGCGAAAGCCUGACGGAGCAACGCCGCGUGAGUGAUGAAGGUCUUCGGAUCGUAAAACUCUGUUAUUAGGGAAGAACAAAUGUGUAAGUAACUAUGCACGUCUUGACGGUACCUAAUCAGAAAGCCACGGCUAACUACGUG
rnacentral:rRNA from 1 species